CAAACCGACGAAUAAAGGCAAAACGUUAAUUUUCCUGAAGCGGUGCCAAGGGACGGCGUGCGCCAUUGGUUGAGCGCGCAAACAUCAUAUUUUCAAUAUUAUCGAAUACUUUAAACCUUUUUAAAUGAAACAAACAAUGCUAAUUUGGAAUUUUGUAAACAUAAUAAUAUGUUAUUGUACAUUUACAACAACAGAGGGUUUCGUAUGAAAAAAAACAAAACGUUAUGUUACGCAACCAAACAUUUCAAUACGAUAAUGAUGAGACAAGUGUUAAUUUUAUUGCUUUGAUAAUUAUAAAUAACAUUUAUCGCUCAUGUUUUGUACUAGUAUAAUAAAUAGUAUUACAUUGGAGUGAUCUAAAUACUAGACGUUUCCAAGAAGAGGAUAUUACACGGAUCGAUAAAAAAACAGAUGCUGAACUUCGGAGCAGUGUUGGAGCAUCGUUAUCAGGUCGUAGGCGCGUGGCAACGCACGGGGUCAAACACGGAAACCGAUCAGACCAGCACGUGUAGCUUCACACAAGCAUGUUCACAAGGCAAGUACUAAUACAUUUUUAACUACUUUAAGAACAAAAAACAAUUUUGCUUACUUAUUAGAAAAUACAUAAAAUGGGAAGCCUUACAAGACCCAAAUCUCACUACCAGACAAUCGAAGGUAAAACUACUUAGAAUCCUUAAUUACUAAACAAUUAGGCAACUCAUGUUUGAGGACAAACAAUGAAACCUGUUUAUUCAACAACCAGAGAAAAUAGAACAUCAGGUAUUGAGAUCUAAACAAUAAUAUUCAAUGAUUCCAGAGAAGGACCAAGAUUUGGGGCAGUUUCCAGGAAAAGACCAAUAGUUGGGGCAAAUAUGGGUCGAGCUGGGAAGAAAUGAAGAGAAAGGGGCAAAACCUAUCAACAAAACGAGGAAGACGUCUUCAUGAAAAAAUCUUGAAACAUUGGACGCUAGGACCAGUUACAAGCCCCCGAAAGGAAAUGAAGUCAAAUAGUAAAAUGGAACCCUCCUUCUUAAUGGAAAUAACAAUACUGAAGACAGAGUAGAAUACACUAAUCACUUACUCUUCCCGCGGAUGCCCUAAGAAGACUUAAGGUACUAGUCAAAGAGACCUGGCAUCAGUUCACUUUGAUGAACCUAAAACCUUAACACAGUGAUCCCUCAAACGAGGUAAUGAUGGCAAAUACUUUUAUGUAGGUAGAGGGGCCCACAGUCUCUGAUCGACUUAGACGAUGAUACGGCAAUGGAUAGUUAAAAUAUAUCCAUCUCUCCUAUAUAUACUCCAUCUCUGGCCUUGCCAUUUGUUUUAAUUUUAAUGUUAAUGGCGCGGUAAGAAUUUCUGCUAGCAUCAAACCGUAAUGUUCUUUUAAAAUCUUUAGUCACUUUCGAAAGCUUGCCCAGAGACUCAACCUCUAGACCAAGGUCCUAUUGUAACAGUAGAUCCACUUGACCUACGAAAAAAUGGCCGAAACGGAUUAGACCCCAAGCCGAAACUACACUAAUAUACCUUCACAAAUGUAAAUCUGAUACAAUUAUACAGGCAAGUGAGUUCAUCCUAUUAAUACAUACUAGAACUUAAGGUAAAGCAAAUAUUUGCUUAGGACGUAGCAACAAAAGGUAUACUUUGGAUGAACCAAACAGCUAGCUACUUAACAGUGCUUUUCCACCAAAGAUGUGCUAUGUAGCAAUGCUGCGAAAAUGUAAUAGCUAAGCUGUGUAACUAUGUAACCGUUUCCAACGAUACUAAGCUAUGUAGCAGCGGUGCAAGAUGUGCCUCUGUGAAGCUGUUGGACGAGGAAGAUGCGUAGCUCGAGAAUACGAUACACCUAUCAAUAGUAGGGAAACCACCCAUAGCACGCAUCUCUCUAUAUAAAUACUAUAUAUUACUAUAUUUUAAUUGAACCCGUUUCCACCAGGGCUACGUUAUGUGUACCAAUGAAUAUGAUUGGUAGAAGCCAAACGCAUCCACAGCAACGUGGCAUAGCACAUUUCUGGUGGAAAAUCACACUAAAACCUCAAAAAGACGGAACAAACCUAGAAAAAUAUAUUGAAAAUACAAAUGGACAUUGGUCCAUGGACAAAUGGACAAGGGUAAUGACCAUUAGUACGAAUUUGCUUUACGUUGAACGAAAACGAAACGAGAGCGCGUUUGGUGCUGAUUGACCGGUAUACAAAUAACCAUGUACGUAAAAUAAGUUCUUCUGAGUGUAUGUUGUAAAUGAUAAAUGAUAUUUAUUUCUGUAAAUAGGUUAUAAAAUAACACUUUUACACGUCAAUAUUUCAAAUAGCUAGAUGAGGCCGGCAUUUCCUAUCCGACUACUCUGAGAAGAAAUGCCGAAACAAACUCAGAGGUAAUAGUCUCUUUUAAAGUCCAGACAAUGAAAUAGACGAUAAUGUGAGAGAACCGUGCAAGUUCAUUCUGUAGUGGUCUUUAGAGGAAAGAACCACAACAGUAUGAGCGGACCUGUUCAGAUGGCAGUAUGCAUGUGUCAGUUUACAAUCAGCUCAGCUAACGGCUGUUGCUGAAUGAUCCGACGAACAAUAUCAACCAAAAGAACAUUUGGGUAGGUCUCGUAAAUGCUCAUACUGUCAGAAUAUAAUUAACUAAAAGUGAAAUGACUAAGCAAACUCUCGCACGGUGCUCGGUGAUAAAAAAAAGAUUUUGAACAAAACAGUGAGGUAAUACUAAUUUUUUCAUGAUCGCCUCAUUUUCAAUAUCAAUAUUACCUAUUUUCAUUAGAUAAUGCAAGGCGCUGAUUAAUAAAAAUCAUUAGAGGUUGAAUUCCACUUCCAGGUUUUAAAUACGGUAUUGCAUUUUGAAUUAAAGCCGUAUGUCGACGGCAGAGCACGAUGCAUUUUUCACCACCCUUACUGACUCCCAAUUGUGGAGAUUAUGGCAAAGAUAUACUCUAAAAUCUUUACCUCAGUAGGAGUGAUGAGCGUAGCCAUAAAAAAAAUAUAAAAUCUCAAGAGUUUUUAAUUAUGUAUGAAAAAUACAAACAUGCUAAUCAUAGUAAUUGCCGGUGAUUAUGGAAAAAUUAUUUGGCAGUCCAAUUAAUGAGAUGUGAAAGGUUAUUAUAGGCUAUCUAACAUUACGCUGCUAAAUUAAGAGUCACUGGGUGAGCACGUGUGUUGUUUUGCCAUGGAACUAUAUCGCACGUCCGGGGAGACAAGGCCGCAAGAGGUCACACCGACAUCGACAGCCUACAAGUGGCCAACGCUGACCAAAGGCCUCUUCUCACACGGAGAAGGUUUGAGCAUUAAUCGCCACGUUUGCUAAAUGCGGGUUGGCGAUUUCAAACUUAAUUAUAAGUUUGAAAUCACCAACCCGCCAAGGAAUUAUAAGCCAAGGUUUUCUCACGAUGUUUUCUUUUAUUGUUUGUCAGUCAAACGCCCGAAUACUCAAACGUUACUCAAUUUUAAGUUGUACUUAAAUAUCGUGCUAUCACUGUCAUUUUAUAAAGAAUUUAUAGUGACAGAACUAGUUACAUUUGAGAGCGUCUUAAAAUUGAGUAGCGUUUGAGUAUUCGGACAUUAAUCUCACACAAAAUACAAGGGUACAGAGUAUUGUAACUACUAUAGUACUUUUUUGUUUGUUGAGGGGGGAAAAUCAUCCAAUGACUUCUUGGGCGAGAGGGAGUGUCAGAGUCUUACUGACUUAAAACCACCCCGUUCCUACUCCUGCUUUUCGAGCUGGAGCCGUGGUAGUGGCCCCUCACAUGACUCGCAAAUGGCAAGCAGCCAAAGAACAUGGAUAUUAGCUAUAUAAUACAUAAGAUGUAUGUAUUUUAAAUAAAAAAUAAAUAAAAAAAAAAUUACUACCAGACAUAUCAUCUAUAUUAUAAAAAUAAGUCAGGUUUUCCUUCCUGAUGCUAUAACAGCAGAAUGCACAAACUGAUUUCCACAGUUUUGCAUUUGUUGAAAAGGUCUCGGACUCCGUGAGGUUUAUAGAACAGAAAAUUCAGGAAUAGAUUCUAGAGAAAAGCAUUGGUAGCGAAACGGAGUUCGCCGGGUUUGCUAGUAUGUUAUAUUAUAUUAAUCAUGUUAUUUUUUUAAUUAACAUAUUAUUACUACAAUAAUUUGUACACAUAAUAUCUUACUAGAAUUAAUGAAAAAAAAAAUGUAUGUAAAAGGGAUGAAUAGAAGUAAUUCACAGGUGAACAUUCAGCCUGGGUUGAGUAAGAGUAAUAUUUGGAAACAAGCCCAGAUAUACAUGUAUCCCAAAGUAUAAAAAACAUUUGUGAUUCGGAUAAUCGGCGAUUCGGAUAGUCGGAGUUCGGAUAAUUGGAGUUCUACUGUAGUUAAUGAUUCCUUUUCAUUUAUAUAACUUAUUUGAUGUAACUUAGUUAAUAAGGUACAAUGGGGUUAACAUAUACACAUACACAUAUGGACUGAAAGCUCCCAAAAAUAAAUAGAAAAUAAAACUAUUAAUUGUAAUAUUAUUAUAUUACGGCAGAUAUUGUGAGGAGGUUUCUGUCACUAUAAUCCUAACCACCGGUAGCUUGGAUUUUGUAUUUUAUUAGUAAUAUUUAAAAAUGUAAUUUUAGAGGAUUUUAAAUAAAUAUAUGUAAUUUGUAAUAUAAUUUAUGAUUAAA